UAAUGUUUAUUUUAAAUAAUUCACAAGUGGAUAUUAUUGGUAAAGGUUUUACAUAAUUAAAAAUGUUUGUUUUCAACAUGGAAAAUAUAUUAUGUAAAGUAAAUAUUAGAUGGCAGUGACAUUUGACAGCCAUGUCAAAUUUUUGUUUUGGUACACUGCUAAAAAUAAGGUUAAAAAUUGUAAAAUCAUGUAUUUUGUUAUUAUUAUUCAUUUCUGGUUUGAGAAUGUGUCUAUUCUCAAUAAAAAUAAAAAGGUAAUAAGGUUUAAAUAAACAUUAUAAAAUGUACACAUCUUUAUUUCUGUAACCUCUUUAUUUAAGAAAAUUAUUAACAGAUAUCUAAUACAAGUGAAUAAGUUUUAGAACAGAAGAAAAUAUAAUGGCAUAGAAGCCAAAUGAUGAUAAAUAAGUAGCCCACUAUAACCCCAACGAGGAAUCUACGAUGAAUGUCCCCCAGUUGCUUUCCAGUAAGUACUCGAUAUGAGAAUUUGAGGAUUUUUCGAACGGCGUCCCAAUUUGUUUAAAUAGUAGGAAAGUCCUCAAGUCUGUGUAAGUAUCCUUUGCUUAUUUGGUUAUGUAGUUAGUCUUCUUUAAACCCUCCUACCCCUCCCAACGAAUCUACGACCUGCCACCGCACAAAAAAUGAGCUGCCGUUCGCAUGAAGGUUUGCGUGUCUGUUCCUUCUGCUAGCCCCAUUUCGACUCCCCAGUAUCUCUAUAGAUAGUCUUUCCUUGAUCCCAUUAGAGCAGACAGGUAAAACGCUUCAACUGUCGCCCUAGAACGUGGGGCAUGUCUUUUUUGCCUCCCUCAGACCCCAUUUGCAUGUUCCCACUACCAUGUCCUUUUAGCCUCCUUUCGGUCUCAUUUGUACUACAACUGUUAGGCAGUGCCCGUCCCCUUGGGCAGCCGAUCUCAGUUUGUGGUGCAGGUGUUUCCGAUAACAUGGAAGCUUGACUUUUGUCAUAUUUUGUGUACGCCCACUGUUACAAGUCUAGCUUGUAGACAUGUUCAACUAGUAGUUAGCCUAUCUACUAGUCCCCAAUGUCUUUAGCCACUCCCACUUAGUGUUACACUUGUAAUACUUGUAACGUACACCCUGAAGUUUGACCCGAGUAAAUAUCGCCCCAGUCUUUCCAAGUAGUUUAGCCCAGAUUCCUCUUGUCUUGUCCCUAGAAACUGUUUCAAGUCUUCUAGUGCCCCCGAAACUGUUUCAGUCUGUUAGUCCCCAUGAAAGAGCCCAUUUUUGUAGUUUUUGUUGCAGAAUGUUAAUAAUUUUUUCCGAAGAGGUAUAAGUACGUACACAUAGUAUUGUGGUGUUGAUUUGGUCGUACUGUUGUUUGUAUAAGUAUGUACCAUUUCAUACAUCAUAGUGUAUUUACAUUGUAACCCCAUAUUAUGUAAACCGUAGUAUACUGGUAUUGUAUUGUAUGUAUCGUACAAGAGAAUAGUAUGUUUAAUAUUGUAGCGUACUUACUAUAUUGUAUUGAUAUUGUACCCAUGAUGAAAGCAUUGGUUAAAUUUUUUGGAAAAUAUUGAUUAAUUAUAUAGACAAACAAUUGAGUAAAAAAUAAAGUAAAAAUUUUUUUAGAAAAUUUUGGUAAAAAAAGUAACGUUAAAAAUUUUUUUUUAAAAUUUUGCUAAAAGUUACAAUUAAAAUGUUUAGAAUAUUGAAUCCACUUAUAGAGUAUAACAAUAUGUUAUAUUUUUUUGCAUGUAUUCUUGUAGAUCAUCAGUUUUUACAGAAUAAACGUUUUUUGUGAUUAUUGAUUUGGUCGUUUGAGUAGAUGUGUGAUAAUAGUUGGUAUGGUCCGUGUAUGAGCUAAUUCGGUAUGGUCUGUGUGAGUAAGUCCCGUGAUUUUCCAGCGAAGCCUAUCUAUAUUGGGUAUGUUAUGCCACAGGUUAGUUGGAGAAGUCGUCCUAGAAGAAGUAACCCCAUGAAGAAGUGAAGAGGGAAACCGUGGCGAGGCCCCUCCACUUGUUCAUGAAGAAGUGAAGAGGGAAACCGUGGCGAGGCCCCUCCACUUAUUAAUGAAGAAGUAGACCCCUUGUUUUUUCAAGCAGCCAGGAGAAAAGCUAUCACUUUUUGAUUUGAAGAUAGCGUACUCUGUCGACACUGUUUUGAAAAUAACCCUUGAUAUAUGGAUUUGUUCAUGUUAGAAGUGAAGAAAAAGUAACCCCAUGAAGAAGUGAAGAGGGAAACCGUGGCGAGGCCCCUCCACUUAUUGAUUAAAAAUGAUGUAUGUUUUCUUGUAUCUGGCAUAUCACAAGUGUAAUACUCGUGAUGAGGAAGUGUUUUACAGUUGUCUGGGAAUACUCCCAUUAAUAGUCGGAGCAAGAACAGUUUUAUUUGUGUAAGCUCAUAUAAGAACCAAGUUUCAAUAUUUGUUUGUGUUUGUAAGCCCAUGUAUAUGGAGUAUGACUAAGAACCAAGUUUCAAUAUUUAUUUGUGUUUGUAAGCCCAUGUAUAUGGAGUAUGACUAGAAGUCUUAAGUUUUUUGUUCCCUGCUUGUUUGUCUAUCCCUUUUUUGUCUGAAAAUUUUAGAGUCUGUUAUCCCGUAUUGUUCUGUUAGCCCCUGUCCAUGAUAGAGAUUGAUUUUUUUGGCGAAUAGUUCGUUGACCUCUCUUGUGUUUGUUUAUUGAAAGUAGGCCAAGAGCAGAAGCUGUGACAAGGCUGGUGAGCUUAGGAUCUGGCCGCGUUGAGUACAGGUGAAGCUUGCUUUCGAUGGAUAAAUGAAAGUGGUCGUUCGUCAGAACUGUCAUUCUUUCCAAUAUCCCUUUGGUCUUUCCCUUGUGUGUUGCUUUCAUCCCUGUUUUGAAAAAGUAGUCUAACCCCAGUUUGGAAAAAUAAAGUCUACCCAUUGUUUUGGAAAAAUAUGGUCUACUUAUGUUUUGGAAAAGUAAGAUCUACUCAUGUUUUGGAAAAGUAAGAUCAUAUCCCCGGUUUUGAAAAGUACAAGUUUAUCCCAGCUAGUGAUUUGAAAAUGUGAAAGUUGUCUUGUGAACUUUCAUGAAAUUCUUUUAUGUCCUAGGUAGGACUGUUGAUUGAAAACGUAAUGAUGUAGUAUUUCCUAUGUCAUGUGUUACGUUUAUUUUUUUUUUUUUUGGUCUUGAUUAAAUAGUUUGAUAUCUCGUUUGAAUCCAGUAUACUAGUUUUUUUUUUUGGUCUUUUAUGUUGUCACACGCAUUCCUCCCCUGUUUGGUCUUGUUUGAAUGAGUUGUUGAGAUAAGUUAUUUGUGACAUUUUAUCUCAACGAGGUAUUUAGACUGGAUUGUCUAAAUCCUCCUUUUGCCGAACCGUUGCCGAUAAAAAUUCCGUGAAACUCGCUAGGUGUUUAGAGUUUAAGCAGAUGCCUAUCUGCUGAGCCAAGAGCUCAGAAAGAUUUUUUAGUUUUUGAAAACCAAUCCUGGUUAGGCAACGAGGUGAUGAGGCUGUGUCUGCCCUGCUAUAUGGUAUAUAUUAUAUGGUAUAUAUAGUAUAUAUGUCACUUGUGUUACUGCAGUGGAUGUCGGCGAGGUCCACACAGGGCACAAGAUUAUUUCUUUCCCAAGGCACAGAAACUCUUGUCACCUACAGUUCUUUGUAGAGUCAAGAAACAUUUAAGUCUACUCGACUUUAAAGAGUCUGGCGAUUGAUGGCACGCUAGCCCACUCCCUAACAAUGAUGUUUUUGUUUUUGUUUAAUCCCCAUUAGCCAUUAUUUAAAUAUUUUUGUAUUGUUGUCCUGUCACACCCAAGAAGUCAAUGUUGGAUUUUUGUAGUUAUCGAAAACUGAAUAAGUAAUCCAGUUUCCUCUCUUCCGAGGAGGCUAUUGUAGCAGAUGGAUUUCUACUACAAUAUUUUAUAAAAAAUAUCCAUUAAUUUUGAUCCUAUCCCAAGAAAAAUAUUAAUUUUUUUAAUAUAUUUUGCGAGUUUAUAUAUCUUUAAAAUUUACUAAGCCGCUCCUGUUCGAAAUAUUUCAGAAUAUUUUCGCAACAAAGUAAAAUCAUAGGAAAGUUCCUAUUUAUUUGAGUAGCAUUUACCAACUACGUAGAUAGUUAUUGUGAAAUCAUUCAUUAUUCGAGAAUAAAUCCUCUAAAAGGUUCAGUGUUUUUCCUUUAAGUUUUGAGCGAUAAAAAUCCCAUGUUAUUAUUGGUCUGCAUUUUGAAAGAUCCUUGAGUUGUAGUUGACGAUUGGUCAAUAGUUUUGGCCGAAAGAUCGAGAAGAAAUGCAUCGUUUGGACGCGAGAGAGACGUGACGAUGUAAAGCCAGUUCUAAAAGUACAUCAGCUCUGUAAGCAUCUUUUUGUUAGAACUCAAAAAGUCGCACUUUGCCGGCCAAAAUGGUUUUCUUCUUAUAGUAAAAGAACUAAUGGAUUUCUAACAUGUCAAGGAAUAUAAUGACAAUAGUUUCACGGCAUUUUAAUGGAUAUAUUAUUGUGAAACAGUUCUAUUGUUAUGCAGUUUGAUUUGCCGGUAAAAGAAGUGCGUGGUUUCCUGGUUCCUGUCCUUUAUGUAGCUGUUGCUAUUUUUAUGAUGUUUUGAUUUGUUCAUGUUCCAGUAAGAAAUGCCCAGAUGAUAUUAUUUGGUAUCGAUUUUAUCCAGUUUUGUAAUGAUUUGAAUAUCUUCCCCUCCCAGCCCCGUCUGAAUGGAAAAUUUUGAAGUUCCAAGUGUUGUGACAUGGAUUUUUGUUUUAACAAGAACAGAAGAAAAUAUAAUGGCAUAGAAGCCAAAUGAUGAUAAAUAAGUAGCCCACUAUAACCCCAA
rnacentral:lncRNA from 1 species